UACGUAGGUGGCAAGCGUUGUCCGGAUUUACUGGGCGUAAAGGGUGUGUAGGUGGCUGCUUAAGUCAGAUGUGAAAUACCCGGGCUCAACUUGGGUGCUGCAUUUGAAACUGGGCGUCUAGAGUGCAGGAGAGGAAAGCGGAAUUCCUAGUGUAGCGGUGAAAUGCGUAGAGAUUAGGAAGAACACCAGUGGCGAAGGCGGCUUUCUGGACUGUAACUGACACUGAGGCUCGAAAGCGUGGGGAGCAAACAGG
rnacentral:rRNA from 1 species